GAAAGUGGGGGAUUCGCAAGGACCUCACGUUAGGGGAGCGGCCGAUGUCCGAUUAGCUAGUUGGUGGGGUAACGGCCCACCAAGGCGACGAUCGGUAGCUGGUCUGAGAGGAUGAUCAGCCACACUGGGACUGAGACACGGCCCAGACUCCUACGGGAGGCAGCAGUGGGGAAUUCUGGACAAUGGGGGCAACCCUGAUCCAGCCAUGCCGCGUGCGGGAAGAAGGCCUUCGGGUUGUAAACCGCUUUUAGUCGGGAAGAAAAGGCGCGAGUUAAUACCUCGUGUUGUUGACGGUACCGGCGGAAUAAGCACCGGCCAACUACGUGCCAGCAGCCGCGGUAAUACGUAGGGUGCGAGCGUUAAUCGGAAUUACUGGGCGUAAAGCGUGCGCAGGCGGUUCGUUGUGUCGGUGGUGAAAGCCCCGGGCUUAACCUGGGAAUGGCCAUGGAAACUGGCGAACUGGAGUGUGGCAGAGGGGGGUGGAAUUCCGCGUGUAGCAGUGAAAUGCGUAGAGAUGCGGAGGAACACCGAUGGCGAAGGCAGCCCCCUGGGCUAGCACUGACGCUCAGGCACGAAAGCGUGGGAGCAAACAGGAUUAGAUACCCUGGUAGUCCACGCCCUAAGCUAUGUC
rnacentral:rRNA from 1 species